UCCAGUUUGGGAUAUUCCAUGAUUCUUUAAUGGGAAAAUGACUCUGCCCAUGAGGCUCUGUCUGGGUCUUGAUGCUCUUGUGGCCAAGCUGUUGCAUCGAUGCACUAAGCUGAGCUGUGGAGCUGUGCUUGUGCAGCCUUCAUGGAUGCCUCAGCCCAGGCUCUGCUUGCAGUGACCUUGAUUCUGAUGUCCCAACUACCUUUGAUAGUUGUACACUUGCGAGAAGUCAUGGAAACAUCCUGUAGAGGUGACCUUAUAACAGUUCUAAAAAGUGUGCGCAUUGUUACUGGUGUCUUGAACUACUGAGAAAAGCAUAUUUUAAUUGCUCUGCCAUGACUCAGAAAAUGACAAAAUGUUCUUUAAACCCUUUUCCCUCUCGAAAAGUUCAGAAAAUACAGAAAGUUUCACCUUUCCAUAGUGAAGAGCUGAUAAAGUCACCUGCAUGCAAAAAGGGGAGGUAAUAACAGAGCUUGCUUUGUAACCCCAACUUGAGCGUGCUGCAGCAGGCACCUGCUUGUAGUAACAGCCUGAUCUAUGGGAAGUGUUUGAGGCAGCCCUGGAACUCCAGUAAAGCUUUGAUUUUCCACUCACAGCAUCUCACAUGACACUCCCAGCUGAGUGCUCAAACACAGACACCAGCAUCAAGAUUCAGCUGGAGAGGAGGAAUGACAACCGAAGGAAGAACCCAGGAGUGGAUACAUUCCCUACAAUAGAGGGAGGCUGCUGGCAAUGGGCAGUGAUUGAUGUGGUGCUUCCCACCCCACCUUGAGUUGGUGCUGGUUUGCUCCCAGGCACUGCUGCUCAGCCAGACCCUGUGGAGGGGCAGGGAAGGGAAGCUGGGGGAUAAUCCCAUGGCUCCCAUGCUUGCUGGGUACCCCACAGUAACGCCCUGCAUGGACUUUGUGGCUGUGAUGGGUAGGGUCCUCUUAAGCACGCACUCAGCUGCUGUGAUCUGUGCAUACCCCAAAAGAAGCAAGUAUGGCAGCAAGCAGGGGACCUUCAUGCCUGAAGGACAUAUUGGAGUGUAAUUUGUGGUGUGAUUGAUAUAUCUUUCUUUUGUAUAUAAUUUUUCCCCUCUUGCCAGCUGUCUGGUCAGGGACACAUCAAUCUCUGCG